AGAUAUAUCUCUCAAGAGAUGAGCUUUUAAAAAAAAUAAAAACGAUAUGAGUAAUCACUUGCAAUGUAGUGGAUCGAAAGGUGAUGGUAGGAUUUUUCCUAAGAAAAAAAAAAUGUCAGGAGCACCAGGGGUUUUUCACCCCUCAUUGUCCAAAGCCCACGUACUACGCGAGAACGAUGAUGCAUAGAUCGUUCUAAAAAACAUCGUGUUAGUCUCCAAAGGUUGGAAAGGCUCAAACGAUCGUAUAACGCGGAAUUUGAUCCAGUAUUUCCGACGAUAGGCCGGGAAUCACCGGAUGAAGAACGACGAGAAGAAGAUUGGGGAAGAAGAACUGAAACUGUUUAUCAACAGAAAAGAGGGAA
rnacentral:lncRNA from 1 species